rnacentral:rRNA from 1 species
UUCCAGACUCCUACGGGAGGCAGCAGUGGGGAAUAUUGCACAAUGGGGGGAACCCUGAUGCAGCGACGCCGCGUGGGUGAAGGAGCACCUCGGUGCGUAAAGCCCUCUCGGCAGGGAAGAAACAGACGGUACCUGACUAAGAAGCCCCGGCUAACUACGUGCCAGCAGCCGCGGUAAUACGUAGGGGGCAAGCGUUAUCCGGAUUUACUGGGUGGAAAGGGAGCGUAGACGGCAGUGCAAGUCUGGAGUGAAAGGCGGGGGCUCAACCCCCGGACUGCUCUGGAAACUGUACGGCUGGAGUGCAGGAGAGGUAAGUGGAAUUCCUAGUGUAGCGGUGAAAUGCGUAGAUAUAAGGAAGAACACCAGUGGCGAAGGCGGAUUACUGGACGAUAACUGACGGUGAGGCGCGAAAGCGUGGGGAGCAAACAGGAUUAGAUACCCUAGUACUG